AACCUCCGCAAUGUGAGAAAUCGCGACGGGGGGAUCCCAAGUGCCAUUCUUAACGGGAUGGCUUUUCUUAAGUGUAAAAAGCUUUUGGAAUAAGAGCUGGGCAAGACCGGUGCCAGCCGCCGCGGUAACACCGGCAGCUCUAGUGGUAGCUGUUUUUAUUGGGCCUAAAGCGUUCGUAGCCGGUUUGAUAAGUCACUGGUGAAAUCCUGUAGCUUAACUGUGGGAAUUGCUGGAGAUACUAUUAGACUUGAGACCGGGAGAGGUUAGAGGUACUCCCAGGGUAGAGGUGAAAUUCUGUAAUCCUGGGAGGACCGCCUGUUGCGAAGGCGUCUAACUGGAACGGUUCUGACGGUGAGGGACGAAAGUUAGGGGCGCGAACCGGAUUAGAUACCCGGGUAGUCCUAACUGUAAACGAUGCGGACUUGGUGUUGGGGUGGCUUUGAGCUGUUCCAGUGCCGAAGGAAGCUGUUAAGUCCGCCGCCUGGGAAGUACGGUCGCAAGACUGAAACUUAAAGGAAUU
rnacentral:rRNA from 1 species